GUGCUAGCUUUGUCAGUACAUAUACUAAAAUUGGAAUGAUACAGAGAAGAUUAGCAUGGCCUCUGAGCAAGGACAACAUGCAAAUUCAUGAAGCAGAAGAAAAAAAA
rnacentral:snRNA from 1 species